ACUCCUACGGGAGGCAGCAGUGGGGAAUAUUGGACAAUGGGCGCAAGCCUGAUCCAGCCAUGCCGCGUGAGUGAUGAAGGCCCUAGGGUUGUAAAGCUCUUUCACCGGUGAAGAUAAUGACGGUAACCGGAGAAGCAGCCCCGGCUAACUUCGUGCCAGCAGCCGCGGUAAUACGAAGGGGGCUAGCGUUGUUCGGAUUUACUGGGCGUAAAGCGCACGUAGGCGGACUAUUAAGUCAGGGGUGAAAUCCCGGGGCGCAACCCCGGAACUGCCUUUGAUGCUGGUAGUCUUGAGUUCGAGAGAGGUGAGUGGAAGUCCGAGUGUAGAGGUGAGAUUCGUAGAUAUUCGGAGGAACACCAGUGGCGAAGGCGGCUCACUGGCUCGAUACUGACGCUGAGGUGCGAAAGCGGGGGGAGCAAACAGGAUUAGAAACCCGUGUAGUCCCAUGA
rnacentral:rRNA from 1 species